rnacentral:other from 1 species
AUCCUGCGGUGUUCGUAAAGGCUCUUCGUUGUUUUGAACCAAUGGCUGUUUCACGGGAGUUCAAAUUUUUAUACGGCUGACAUGCCCUGCACAUGGGAUCUCAAAUGUAUAAAUGAGGGCACCCACCUGCGAGAGCGGGUUCAGAAACAUUUGGGCUUAACGGCAUUGCGGGUAUU